rnacentral:rRNA from 1 species
AUUGAACGCUGGCGGCAGGCUUAACACAUGCAAGUCGAGCGGAGAGAGGUAGCUUGCUACUGAUCUUAGCGGCGGGCGGGUGAGUAAUGCUUAGGAAUCUGCCUAUUAGUGGGGGACAACAUUUCGAAAGGAAUGCUAAUACCGCAUACGUCCUACGGGAGAAAGCAGGGGAUCUUCGGACCUUGCGCUAAUAGAUGAGCCUAAGUCGGAUUAGCUAGUUGGUGGGGUAAAGGCCUACCAAGGCGACGAUCUGUAGCGGGUCUGAGAGGAUGUUCCGCCACACUGGGACUGAGACACGGCCCAGACUCCUACGGGAGGCAGCAGUGGGGAAUAUUGGACAAUGGGCGCAAGCCUGAUCCAGCCAUGCCGCGUGUGUGAAGAAGGCCUUAUGGUUGUAAAGCACUUUAAGCGAGGAGGAGGCUACUUUAGUUAAUACCUAGAGAUAGUGGACGUUACUCGCAGAAUAAGCACCGGCUAACUCUGUGCCAGCCGCCGCAGUAAAAC